UGAAUUUAUUUUAAAGAAUAGAAAUAAAUUCCUUAAUGAAUUCUAAAAGAACAUAAACAGUU
rnacentral:snoRNA from 1 species